CAACCCUGUCAUUAAUUGCCAUCAUUUAGUUGGGCACUUUAAUGAGACUGCCGGUGAUAAACCGGAGGAAGGUGGGGAUGACGUCAAGUCCUCAUGGCCCUUAUGGGUAGGGCUUCACACGUAAUACAAUGGCGCGUACAGAGGGUUGCCAACUCGCGAGAGGGAGCUAAUCUCAGAAAGCGCGUCGUAGUCCGGAUCGGAGUCUGCAACUCGACUCCGUGAAGUCGGAAUCGCUAGUAAUCGCGGAUCAGCAUGUCGCGGUGAAUACGUUCCCGGGUUUUGUACACACCGCCCGUCACACCAUGGGAGAGGGUUUCACCAGAAGCAGGUAGUCUAACCGUAAGGAGGGCGCUUGCCACGGUGAGGUUCAUGACUGGGGUGAAGUCGUAACAAGGUA
rnacentral:rRNA from 1 species